GGAGUCUGGGCCGUGUCUCAGUCCCAAUGUGGCCGAUCACCCUCUCAGGUCGGCUACUGAUCGUUGACUUGGUGGGCCGUUACCUCACCAACUAUCUAAUCAGACGCGAACUCACCCUAUACUGGAUUACUCCUUUCACCCCUGCACCAUGCGAUGCUGUGGUCCUACGCGGUAUUAGCACAUCUUUCGAUGCGUUAUCCCCCUGUAUAGGACAGAUUAUUCACGCGUUACUCACCCGUCCGCCACUCGGCUUAGUUCUGAGCAAGCUCUUCCCUAAGCCUCGUUCGACUUGCAUGUGUUAAGCACGCCGCCAGCGUUCGUCCUCGAGCCAGGAUCAAACUCU
rnacentral:rRNA from 1 species